UACGUAGGGUGCGAGCGUUAAUCGGAAUUACUGGGCGUAAAGCGUGCGCAGGCGGUUCGUUAAGUUCGUUGUGAAAGCCCCGGGCUCAACCUGGGAACUGCAAUGGAAACUGGCGGGCUUGAAUGCGGCGGAGGGGGGUGGAAUUCCGCGUGUAGCAGUGAAAUGCGUAGAGAUGCGGAGGAACACCGAUGGCGAAGGCAGCCCCCUGGGCCGACAUUGACGCUCAGGCACGAAAGCGUGGGGAGCGAACAGG
rnacentral:rRNA from 1 species